UUCGGGAAAAGAAUCUUUGUCGUAUCAACAGGUCUUAGUGAACGACAAGAACUCGUAACGUUAUCGUCGGUCACACACAUUGAACUAGAGAACAUUGGAGGUUGAGUCGAGGUUUGAAACGUAGGAUAUUAGAUGAAUUUGUAGCAAACAAUAUACGAAGUGCAAUCAUACGUCGUAUUGGUUUCAAUUAGCUGACAAACUAUUAUCCAACUGCGUUGUCCGCUCAACCGUCCCUUUCCUGUCCAAGUUACAAGCC